ensembl:lncRNA
UUGACCCUGGUUCUCCCUCUCAUUUCCCUGUUCCCUAACAUAGUUUCCUUCAUAUUUUGAGGACAAACAAUACACAGUUAAGGCCUUCAAGUUCAGGCGAGCCUAGCAGCUCUGAAAAAAUGGAACACUAAUUUGAACCUAAGUUGCUGAGAGAUUUAGGGUUUUUUUGUUUUGUUUUGAUGUGUUUGAAAUGACCUUUCUCUUUUGAGAAGGGGUGUACACAGAGAGACAGCAGUCAGACCCAGGGUGUCUGUCAAGGUGGACGGCAUCACAAGUAACCGACAGCGGUCACCCCAGGGAUGAAUAUGGAUAUCUGUGGAUGUACAGCUAUAGGCUUCUGCACCCUAAGCACUGCAGUUAGCCAAGAACAUCAUGCUUUACAGAUCUGAGCACCUUGGGCAGAAAUUCUCCUUUAUGUGCCAGAAGUCAUGAAACCAAAGGCAGAAAUCAGCAAGAGGAGACCAGGCACCUCAGGCUGUUUGCCGCGUUAAUCUUCAGAACCCAUUAAGGUGCGCAUGGGAAAAGGCCUGAUCACUGUGCGGGGUUGGCUGCAACACUGUCCUUUUGGGCACUGCUUGGCUUCCAGACCCUUGUGCAGAUGUUAUCCAGCAAGUGCUGAAGGUCUGGUGGCCUGGGGGUCCUGCUGUCCCCUCUUGCAGCCACGGUGUUGGUGGAAUUUGCUCUGGGCUUCGUAAAACCCUCCUGGGGGUUAUACAGAUCUUACCUGUAUGUGUUGUCUCCUCUCUCCCCUCCUGUUUCAGACCCAGGAGUAUGUUUACAAGACUUUCAAGUUUCCCAGCCCUGUGAGAAGGAUUGGGAAACACAUGGGCCCAGCACGUUCAGCCCUAACCACGCACCCCGAGGUGCUGAGUUGUCUUACCCUAGAAGCCUGAGAGGCAUUCUGCCAUUAAAAAAAUGUUCAGAAAGAGGAAAAAUAUGGGAAAAAGGAAAAAGUGAGGAAGAGAAGAUGGGAAUGAGAAAGGAAGGAAGAAAGGAAGGAAUCACAGAAUCACAGAAUGGCCUGGGUUGAAAGAGACCUCAAGGAUCAUGAAUCUCCAAACCCCCUGCCUGGCAGGGCCACCAACCUCCCUGUUUACUAGAUCAGGUUGCCCAGGGCCUCAUCCAACCCGGCCUUGAACACCUCCAGGGACGGGGCAUCCACAACCUCUCUGGGCAGCCCAUUCCAGCACCUCACCACUCUCCUGGUAAAGAACUUCCCCCUAACAUCCAACCUAAAUCUUCCCUCUUUCAACUUAAAACCGUUCCCCCUUGUCCUGCUGUUGAAGGAAAGGAGGAAGGAACAGAAGAACACAUAUGGACAAAACUCAUGUCUCAUAUGCUGAAAACUAUUUGGCUCAUACUGUCAUUUUCAAACAAGAACUCUUAAAUUUUAUUGUACAUAACGAUGUCUUCCUGCAAAGCUCCAAAAGUAAUUGCUAGGCAUCACAGGUAUCAUUUACAAAGCAUGUGCAAUGAUCUGCAACAUCUACUUAGUCUGCAGCAUUCAAAAGUCAAACUCCUUGUUAAGUUGGAUGCUGAAUUGAAGGUCCCAUGAUUGCAGUUUAAUCUCUCUUCGUUGAUAGUCUACUUUGCUUCCCAUAAGUGAACUGGUCUCCAACUUCUACAUUGAAAGGCUAACAGAAACUUGUUCAAAUUUUGUUUGUUUCUCUGAAAGAUAAGUACUGUUUCUAGUAGGAUUUGUGCACCUGAGCACUGGAUACAAUCCAGGUUUGGAAAUCUAUGUUUAAUGGGGUCUUUUUAGAUUUAGAUUUUUUUCAUUUGGAAUCAGAACUAUAGAAGAUGUUCUGCAAAACAUUUCAAAACCAUUGUUUGUACUCUGAAAAAUAUGCAAUUUUACUUCCUUUAUUUCAGUAUUCUUUGGUUAUAUUUACUCAGUUCAUGAAGUCAUAGCAUGGCAUAUCAUAAUUUCUGUUAAUUUAAAGAUAAAUGAGAUCUGUACUCACACUGAUUUUAUUUGCACAUCUUUUCUAGAUUAGAAUCUCCUGUUUAUCCUAUAGUGAAGUGGCUUACAAAAAAUCCAGUAUCAUUUAGAGAUGAAGGCAAAUAGUAUACAAAUUAGGACCAUAUUUUCAGUAUCAUUUUG